rnacentral:rRNA from 1 species
UACGUAGGUGGCAAGCGUUAUCCGGAUUUACUGGGCGUAAAGAGAACGCAGGCGGUCUUUUAAGUCUGAUGUGAAAGCCUUCGGCUUAACCGGAGUAGUGCAUUGGAAACUGGGAGACUUGAGUGCAGAAGAGGAGAGUGGAACUCCAUGUGUAGCGGUGAAAUGCGUAGAUAUAUGGAAGAACACCAGUGGCGAAAGCGGCUCUCUGGUCUGUAACUGACGCUGAGGUUCGAAAGCGUGGGUAGCAAACAGG